CAUCCCCCUGCUUGCUGCCCUGCUUCAUCCCAGAGCCUUUAUAAGUGGGAGGACAACUCAUCUUCUGCCUCGAACAUCACCUUCUUGUACACCUUGGAAUACCUGCACAGAGCAUCCCACUACCAGCUGGGCAAGCAUGAGAAUCCUUUUCUUCCUCGUCACUGUUCUCAUCUUCCUCUUCCAGGCUGCUUCUCCAGCAUACAGCCAGGAAGCUGCUGACACCUUAACUUGCAGGCAGAACAGGGGCUCCUGCUCCUUUGUUCCCUGCUCUGCUCCUCUGGUUGACAUCGGGACCUGCCGGGCUGGGAAGCUGAAAUGCUGCAAAUGGACACCCAGUUCCUAAAACUGACACCUCCCUGACCACACAAACAAGAUCUAUGAGCAUUUGAAACAUCUCCCAUCUUUUGACAUCAAUGGAUUCCAGGCUGGGUGCAAGCCUGGGGUUGCUUUCCAUAGGGGUGAAGACCAUUAGAAGCACAUAAAGAUCUGAGGAGGACUUCUUGUUCCCCAAAAAAGACAUUUGCUGUCCUAAUAAAAGCAUCUCAUUGUGUAAACCAC